CCGACUACUGGCGCCUUGUCCUGGCUGUUUUGUGGCUUCUGUUACUGUUACGUUUCAAGUGUGUGCAUGCUUGUACCUGAAUCACGGGUAGUGGUGCUUUAAAUUCGGUUGCCGCGCGGUGGACGCCUUUGGGUGUGCUGCUGCGGCCAAAUUGCGAUUGCGGCGUUUCCUUGUUUUUCCGGCAUGUUAACUCUGCCUGUGCUAACAAGCCAACCUCGCUUCGCUGUUGGUCUCGGAUGUUGCCUACGUUAAGAUCUCUUGGCCCAUUUCGGUUGCCUUGACUCGACCCUAGGAAGCUCUCCGAAUUGAGAACAACCGGAACAGGUGUUGCCUCUACCUCUCCACGGUUAGUGGUAGGAUUACGCAACAUUCUGCGCCGAUCCUCAAACAAGUAGGAACGAGCUUAGCCCUCUACGACAACCAGCCCGGCCGACAACCCCGUCUAGACACGCAAGUGGAUGGGCGGAUAAACACCGAGUUGGACCAGCCCGGCCGACAACCCCGUCUAGCCACGCAAGUGGAUGGGCGGAUAAACACCGGCGCUGGACGUCAAAGAGGACGACCCUAGGAAGAAGCUCUCCGAAUUGAGAACAACCGGAACAGGUGUUGCCUCUACCUCUCCACGGUUAGUGGUAGGAUUACGCAACAUUCUGCGCCGAUCCUCAAACAAGUAGGAACGAGCUUAGCCCUCUCAAUUACGACAACCAGCCCGGCCGACAACCCCGUCUAGACACGCAAGUGGAUGGGCGGAUAAACACCGACGCUGGACGUCAAAGAGGACGUG
rnacentral:misc_RNA from 1 species